rnacentral:lncRNA from 1 species
UUCAAGUUAGUUAGCAGAGAUGUUUAUUUUUUUGUUUUUGAAUGUGAAGCUUAACAGUGGAGAUAAAAUUUGAUGAGCUUCUUUUAUUUAAGACAGGUUGUCUUAAAUAAGGAUAGUACCAAAGAAACGAUCAAUAUGAUGAAUUCCGCACCUUCUACUGGUCACAAUGAAGGUCAGUCAACUACUAGACCUCCACUUUUUGAUGGCUCUCAUUUUAU